CUGACAGAAGAGAGUGAGCACACAAAGGCAAUUUGCAUAUCAUUGCACUUGCUUCUCUUGCGUGCUCACUGCUCUUUCUGUCAG
rfam:Arabidopsis thaliana chromosome 2, complete sequence.